rnacentral:tRNA from 1 species
AAGGGUAUAACUCAGUGGUAGAGUAUGUGCUUAGCAUGCUCAAGGUCCUGGGUUCAAUCCCCUGUACCUCCA